AGAGAGAGACAUGCGCGCAUAUCAAUAAGCGGAGGAAAAGAAACUAACAAGGAUUCCCCUAGUAACGGCGAGUGAAGCGGGAAGAGCUCAAAUUUGAAAUCUUAAAGGGUUUCCCUUUACGAAUUGUAGUUUAAAGAAGUGUUUUCUGUUGAGGUUUUGGUAAAAGUUCUUUGGAAUAGGACAUCAUAGAGGGUGAGAAUCCCGUAUUUGACCUUUACUUUCAACUUUGUGAUACACUUUCAAAGAGUCGGAUUGUUUGGGAAUGCAGUCCAAAAUGGGUGGUAAAUUUCAUCUAAAGCUAAAUAUUGGCGAGAGACCGAUAGCGAACAAGUACCGUGAGGGAAAGGAUGAAAAGAACUUUGAAAAGAGAGUUAAACAGUACGUGAAAUUGUCAAAAGGGAAGCGUUUGACACCAGUGUUGUUUUUCUGAAAAUCAAUUAAAGAACUGUUUAUGCUAAGUUGUUUAGACUUUAUCAGCUAUCUGUUUAGUUUUGAGCUUUUCUUUAAUGCACUUUUCAGUUAACAAGUCAACAUCAAUUUCUUUUGCUGUAAAAAAGCUUGAGGAAGGUGGCUUGAGAUUCGUCUUAAGUGUUUAUAGCCUCUUGCCUAUGCAGUCGGAGAGAUUGAGGUCUGCAGCGUAGAUCCUUCGGGGCUAAAUGCAUUUGUGCUAAGUUAUAGCAUUUUAUAGACAACUUGUUGACUAUGAUUUGUCUUGUAGCUUACUCGCUUAUGUUAUUUUACCUACGCUUAGGAUGUUGACGCAUGAGAUAUACGC
rnacentral:rRNA from 1 species